rnacentral:rRNA from 1 species
CUUACCAAGGCAAUGAUGCAUAGCCGAGUUGAGAGACUGAUCGGCCACAUUGGGACUGAGACACGGCCCAAACUCCUACGGGAGGCAGCAGUAGGGGAAUCUUCCACAAUGGACGCAAGUCUGAUGGAGCAAACGCCGCGUGAGUGAAGAAGGGUUUCGGCUCGUAAAGCUCUGUUGGUAGUGAAGAAAGAUAGAGGUAGUAACUGGCCUUUAUUUGACGGUAGUUACUUAGAAAAGUCACGGGCUAACUACGUGCCAGCAGCGCGGGUAAAUA